rnacentral:lncRNA from 1 species
AGAAGGGAAGGCCCCCGUGGAGUGUGUAGGAAGUCACUUCUCAGAUAUGACUGAGCUAUUUGGCAUGUGGAGUGAGCCUCUGUGUCAGAGCUGUCAGAUCAACAGAAGUCCUGGCCUGGGCACUGCAGGGAGCCUGGCAAUCUGUUAGUUUCAAACAUCAUCUCUUCAUUCAUUCCUGUGAUGCAUGGUGGAGCCAAGAGGGAAAAGAUUUUGCCUGUAGGCUCAAGUCUGAACUUGUUUAUUCAUCUCUAUUAUCUGGUGAUACAGUUUAUUCUUUGCUGCAUUGAGAGGAACAAAACAAAAUACUUUAUAAGGUAAUGUUAUCAGUCGUCCUAAAUACCACCUUUGUUAAACCAGCUCGUCAAACCUAUUCCACAGAAGCUACCUUCUCAUAAAGCCCAACCUCUCCCCUCAUAGCAACAGCCUUUGUGGUCUCUUCUUGCUUGGCACUGGAGUUCUCACAGGGCCCUGCCACAAGCCACACUUGUGAAGACCAGGAAACCUCAGUCUGAAGCCCUCAUACUCUGUAUGAUUACGCUUAAAUUACGGCCCCCUACCCCAAGACUACUUCCGUGAAAUCUGCAUUUUGGGCAUAGCCUUAUAUUUUCAUGUCCUUCAGACUGUAUUCACCUCUCCAUAGUUUCAGUGAUUUCCAUUUGCCAGGCCUUAUUUUAUUUUAAAAAUGAUGGAUUUCAGUGGCCCUACUGUAUAGAUGGAACACAAAGACACACGUAGCAGGCUUUCUUUGACCACCAACCAGCCCUCAAAUCAAGAC